UUUCUAAUUGUUGCAGUUUCCCUGGUAAGGCCGUAGGAGUUUCAAUCGGUGGCUCUGCUGCUUCUGCUCCUGCUCAAGCUGAGGUACCCUUUACUCGAAAGCUUGAGUCUUGUUCGAAUCUUAAUCUAUGUUCUCUAUGAUCUAAGUUCAUCUUAAUGCUUUGAUAUGGUGAUCAUUAUGAACUGUGAACAGGCACCUGCAGCUGCUGCAGCUGAUGAUGAUGAUGACAUGGAUCUGUUUGGUGACGAGACCGAGGAGGAAAAGAAAGCUGCAGAGGAGAGGGAGGCUGCUAAGAAGGACACCAAGAAGCCCAAAGAGAG
rnacentral:lncRNA from 1 species